rnacentral:rRNA from 1 species
UACGGGGGGAGCAAGCGUUGUUCGGAUUUACUGGGCGUAAAGCGCGCGCAGGCGGUUUCUCAAGUCAGUGGUGAAAGCCCGGAGCUCAACUCCGGAACUGCCAUUGAAACUGUGAAACUUGAGGACGAGAGAGGUGAGUGGAAUUCCCAGUGUAGAGGUGAAAUUCGUAGAUAUUGGGAAGAACACCGGUGGCGAAGGCGGCUCAUUGGCUCGUUUCUGACGCUCAGGCGCGACAGCGUGGGGAUCAAACAGG